rnacentral:misc_RNA from 1 species
CAGCGAGGUGCCGCCGCCGCCGCCGAUAGCCCUAAUUCUCGCCCUCAGUGAAGACUACGUCAAUAAAAGUUGAAAUAUUGGCAGCCGAGGCAUGGGCACAUCGUCGGGGCCCGAAUUCCAGCAUCAGCAGCCGCCAAAGAUGCUCCCCCCGCGGCAGCACCCUCGCCCCUCCGGCUUGCAAACGUCGCUAUCGCUGGCGUCCUCCGACCCCGGCCGGUCGCCGGACCUCCCGGAGCCCGGAUCCAACUCUGAUCGUGCUAUUUCCCCCUCCGACAGCAGCAGUUCUAGAGAAACCUGGCCGAUCGAGACCGGGAAGAAGGUGGAG